GAUGAACGCUAGCGGCAGGCCUAAUACAUGCAAGUCGAACGAGAUUGAGGAGCUUGCUCUUCAUGAAAGUGGCGCACGGGUGCGUAACGCGUAUGCAACCUACCUUAAUCAGGGGGAUAGCCUCUCGAAAGAGAGAUUAACACCGCAUAACAUUAUUAUAUGGCAUCAUAUGAUAAUCAAAUAUUUAUAGGAUUAAGAUGGGCAUGCGUGACAUUAGUUAGUUGGCGGGGUAACGGCCCACCAAGACGAUGAUGUCUAGGGGAUCUGAGGGGAUGACCCCCCACACUGGUACUGAGACACGGACCAGACUCCUACGGGAGGCAGCAGUAAGGAAUAUUGGUCAAUGGGCGCAAGCCUGAACCAGCCAUGCCGCGUGCAGGAAGACGGCCCUACGGGUUGUAAACUGCUUUUAUACUGGAAUAAACCUACUUACGUGUAAGUAGCUGAAUGUACAGUAAGAAUAAGGAUCGGCUAACUCCGUGCCAGCAGCCGCGGUAAAAC
rnacentral:rRNA from 1 species